UCCCGCCAAAAAACAAUGGAAAAAUUAAUGAAAAUACUCAAUAUUCACUGCUUUUAAUAAAUUGUACUGAAGUAACAAAAAGCAAUUAGAUUUUAUAUUGCUUAUUUAUUAAUUCCAUCGACAUCUAUGCGACCGAGUGAAGAAAAAAGUACCUCAAUAUUUUUCGAUAUUGGCUGUUUGAAUCUGCGUUGCCAGAAUUUCUUUGUCUCAUGGAAAAAAAAGUAAACUCAGUACCCAAACCGUUGGCGCGAAAAAGUGACAAGCGUUUUUUCACUUGUAUUUCAAGAUUCCAAAGAUGAAGCGUUCAAGCGUCGAAAUUCCAUUGUGCUCUACAAUGCGUCGCCGUCGCGUCGACGACGAGCCUGCUGCAACCUGCAUCGGUGCCGGUCUAACACACCAAGGCUCCGAUAUGUAUGAAGGAAAUGCACAAUGCUAAAAACUGCGUAGGAGAUUUUAAUACAAUAGUACUACCAAGCCUGAUGUUGGCCGCUAUUUCAAUGAAUGCAGCAAUGUGACAGCUAGCAAUCAAAAGUAACAAGAUAUCGAGGAAAUGCAGAUGGCAAUAAACUGUGUAGGAGUUCAUGAUUGCAAUAGAAUAAAAUCGACCAAGCCUGAAGUCAGCAGCCCCUUCAAUGAAUGCAGCAGUGUGACAGCCAGCAAUCAAAAGUUACAAGAUAUCGAGGAAAUGCAGAAGGCAAAAAACUGCGUAGGAGAUCAUUAAUACAAAAGUAUUAUAUAAACCAAACCUGAUGUUGCCAGCUCCUUCAAUGAAUGCAGCAGUGUGACAGCCAACAAUCAAAAGUAACAAGAUAUCGAGGAAAUGCAGAAGGCAAAAAACUGCGUAGGAGAUCAUUAAUACAAUAGUAUUAUAUAAACCAAGCCUGAUGUUGGCCGCUCAUUCAAAGAAUGCAGCAGUGUGACAGCCAGCAAUCAAAAGUAACAAGAUGUCGAGGAAAUGCAGAGUGUAAUAAACUGUGUAGGAGAUUAUGAUUGCAAUAGAAUAAAAUCGACCAAGCCUGAAGUCCUUCAAUGCACGCAGCAGUGUGACAGCCAGCAAUCAAAAGUUACAAGAUAUCGAGGAAAUACAGAAGGCAAAGAAGCAGAUGUCAUCAAAGAAGAUCUUUGUUCCUGCAAUGUUUCCGCAGACGAUACAUCCAACAGAGCGAAGUGGAAGGAAAAGACUCGGAAUAAAGACCCCACCACCAUAUGGGAACAAUGCAAGGGAGAGAGAGAGAAUAUAAUGUUAUAUUUUUAUUUUUUGAUAACAUAAAAUAA